rnacentral:rRNA from 1 species
CUCAGGAUGAACGCUGGCGGCGUGCCUAACACAUGCCAGUCGAACGAAGCACUUUGAUUUGAUUCUUCGGAUGAAGAUCUUUGUGACUGAGUGGCGGACGGGUGAGUAACGCGUGGGUAACCUGCCUCGUACUGGGGGAUAACAGUUAGAAAUGACUGCUAAUACCGCAUAAGACCACAGAGCUGCAUGGCUCGGUGGGAAAAACUCCGGUGGUACGAGAUGGACCCGCGUCUGAUUAGUUAGUUGGUGGGGUAACGGCCUACCAAGACGACGAUCAGUAGCCGACCUGAGAGGGUGACCGGCCACAUUGGGACUGAGACACGGCCCAAACUCCUACGGGAGGCAGCAGUGGGGAAUAUUGCACAAUGGGGGAAACCCUGAUGCAGCGACGCCGCGUGAGCGAAGAAGUAUUUCGGUAUGUAAAGCUCUAUCAGCAGGGAAGAAAAUGACGGUACCUGACUAAGAAGCACCGGCUAAAUACGUGCCAGCAGCCGCGGUAAUACGUAUGGUGCAAGCGUUAUCCGGAUUUACUGGGUGUAAAGGGAGCGUAGACGGCUGUGUAAGUCUGAAGUGAAAGCCCGGGGCUCAACCGCGGGACUGCUUUGGAAACUAUGCAGCUAGAGUGUCGGAGAGGUAAGUGGAAUUCCCAGUGUAGCGGUGAAAUGCGUAGAUAUUGGGAGGAACACCAGUGGCGAAGGCGGCUUACUGGACGAUCACUGACGUUGAGGCUCGAAAGCGUGGGGAGCAAACAGGAUUAGAUACCCUGGUAGUCCACGCCGUAAACGAUGACUACUAGGUGUCGGGGAGCAAAGCUCUUCGGUGCCGCAGCAAACGCAAUAAGUAGUCCACCUGGGGAGUACGUUCGCAAGAAUGAAACUCAAAGGAAUUGACGGGGACCCGCACAAGCGGUGGAGCAUGUGGUUUAAUUCGAAGCAACGCGAAGAACCUUACCUGCUCUUGACAUCCCUCUGACCGGACAGUAAUGUGUCCUUUCCUUCGGGACAGAGGAGACAGGUGGUGCAUGGUUGUCGUCAGCUCGUGUCGUGAGAUGUUGGGUUAAGUCCCGCAACGAGCGCAACCCUUAUCUCUAGUAGCCAGCGGUUCGGCCGGGCACUCUAGAGAGACUGCCAGGGAUAACCUGGAGGAAGGUGGGGAUGACGUCAAAUCAUCAUGCCCCUUAUGAGCAGGGCUACACACGUGCUACAAUGGCGUAAACAAAGGGAAGCAAGCCUGCGAGGGUAAGCAAAUCUCAAAAAUAACGUCUCGGUUCGGAUUGUAGUCUGCAACUCGACUACAUGAAGCUGGAAUCGCUAGUAAUCGCGAAUCAGCAUGUCGCGGUGAAU